rnacentral:rRNA from 1 species
GUGCCAGCAGCCGCGGUAAAACGUAGGAGGCGAGCGUUAUCCGGAUUUACUGGGCGUAAAGCGCGCGCAGGCGGGUCAGUGAGUCGGACGUGAAAGCUCCUGGCUUAACUGGGAGAGGCCGUUCGAUACUGCUGGGCUUGAGGUUGGGAGAGGGGUGCGGAAUUCCCGGUGUAGUGGUGGAAUGCGUAGAUAUCGGGAGGAACACCUGUGGCGAAAGCGGCACCCUGGCCCACACCUGACGCUGAGGUGCGAAAGCGUGGGUAGCAAACAGGAUUAGAAACCCUAGUAGUCC